rnacentral:rRNA from 1 species
UACGGAGGGUGCAAGCGUUAUCCGGAUUCACUGGGUUUAAAGGGUGCGUAGGUGGGUUGGUAAGUCAGUGGUGAAAUCCCCGAGCUUAACUUGGGAACUGCCAUUGAUACUAUCAGUCUUGAAUACCGUGGAGGUCAGUGGAAUAUGUCAUGUAGCGGUGAAAUGCUUAGAUAUGACAUAGAACACCAAUUGCGAAGGCAGCUGGCUACACGAAUAUUGACACUGAGGCACGAAGGCGUGGGGAUCAAACAGG